rnacentral:rRNA from 1 species
UACGAAGGGGGCUAGCGUUGCUCGGAAUCACUGGGCGUAAAGGGUGCGUAGGCGGGUUUUAAGUCAGAGGUGAAAUCCUGGAGCUCAACUCCAGAACUGCCUUUGAUACUGAAAGUCUUGAGUAUGGAAGAGGUGAGUGGAAUUCCGAGUGUAGAGGUGAAAUUCGUAGAUAGUCGGGAGGAACACCUGCGGUGUAGACGGCUUACUGGACCGUGACUGACGCUGAGGCACGAAAGCGUGGGGAGCGAACAGG